rnacentral:tRNA from 1 species
GCCUGGGUGGCUCAGGCGGUUAAGCGCCUGACUUCGGCUCAGGUCAUGAUCUCACGGUCCGUGAGUUCGAGCCCCACGUCGGGCU